rnacentral:rRNA from 1 species
CCGACGGUGAGAGACGAAAGCUGGGGGAGCAAACCGGAUUAGAUACCCGGGUAGUCCCAGCCGUAAACGAUGUGCGUUAGGUGUAUCGGUGACCACGAGUCACCGAGGUGCCGAAGAGAAAUCGUGAAACGUACCGCCUGGGAAGUACGGUCGCAAGGCUGAAACUUAAAGGAAUUGGCGGGGGAGCACCACAACAGGUGGAGCCUGCGGUUUAAUCGGACUCAACGCCGGGAAACUCACCAGAUAA